UAUAUGUACUUGUUCAAAUCGCUUUAGACUUAGUAUUGAUACUUAGAUUAUAAGAAGUGGAUCAAUACAGCUAUAUACACAGUUUGCGUGUUGCUAAGUACAUAUAUUCCUUUUUUCAGACGCCUGUGUGGGAUACUACGAGACCAUUCGAAGGAAGUUUGUGAACAGCCUCCCUGAGAACAAAGAAAAGGCGUUGAAACAGAAGAAGGACAAGAAGCAGCGGUCACGCAGACAAAGGCUGAUGGACGCAAGAGGCACCGCACUCCAAACAGAAGACGAAAGAAGGCUGUGGACUGGAGUGACGGUGGACCUCAUGUCGGACGAGGAGGACGCCGUUUCAAACGGGAUAGCUGUGUGGUUAAUGAAGCCGCCAGCGUUCAGAAGCACACAGCUAUCCCAACUCUGCGGCGUCCUGCAGACCCGACUGGAUACAGGCGGCAAACACAGCGACGGCCGCAAGCCAAGGAUAAGAGAGGAGGCCGCCGUGAGCGACAGGCAGCCCCUGAGAGCUACGACCCCGACCUGGCCCCGCUGCACUUCCGGCCAGGACACCUCCCCCGCCCGGCACGCCGCCCCGGCCUCGCCACCAUUACGAACACCGUCACCAACACCCCACCCCACAGGCCACCAGCCGGGCGGAGUUUAAGCUUCAACGACACAGACGACACCAUGUCCCCGCGCGCCCUUGAGGGCUACAACCAACCCUCGUUUGUUGAGGGAGAGGACAUUUCAGACUCGGAGAAUAUUUCACUUACGCCCUUGUAAAUGACCGGACUUUUGACUUUUGUGACUUUUAUGUACCGUAAUUCUUGAUUUGUUAACUGUCACUUAAUUAUAGCUGAUUUAGCUGUUAGUUUUGUACCGCUAAAAUUUCAGUACCGUAAUACAUUGUAUUUGAACACUUUUGAUCAUCUGCCUUGUCCACACCGCUAAAAUUAAGUGCCGUGAGCUAGUCCAUUUUCCUCCCAACGCUAUAAUUUCCAAACGCAAUAUUAAAUGGAAUUACAGUAGUUUUCAAUGCAUUGUUUAUGUAACUUGUAAGCGUUGUUUAUUUUCUCUUUCAACUACUAGCAAUGUUAGGAUUUACUUGUUUUUAAAGUCUUUGUUUAUGUUGCAUCAUUUGAGGGCACUUCCUGUAAAUUCUUUAGUCUGGUGUCCAGUCUAUCGUUGUUGGAUGGGCUUCGGGGCUGCAGAAGCUCUUCCCCGCUCGACUCAGCUAGGUUACCCGGUAGAUUUUUCACGACGGGAGAAAAACAGCAUCAUCUCCCGUUGUGAAAAACAUACCAGAGAAACCUAGCUUGAUCGGGCGGGGAAGAGCUCCUGCAGCCACGGAGAAAUGGUUCUGUUGAUACGAAUAAAUUUUUCAACGAUGAA